rnacentral:misc_RNA from 1 species
GGUUGUGUUGGGGUUUGAGGGGAAUGUGCAUGAGAAAUUUGUUGAUAAUUUUGUUGUUAUUGUGUGUCCUUAUUUUACAUCCCAUCAAAGGAAAGUGCACAACAGCUCGUACAAGUAAGUUUGGUUUAGUAGAUACAUGGGCAAUUUAAAAGCAAUGUUCUUUUGAAAUAUUUAGAAUGUAGAUUCAGAAUCUCUAUUUCUCUAUUUUUUUGAGGAAUGUUUCUUAAUGAUUGAUAAUAUCUGGCAGGAAAUUGCACUGCUAAGCCGCUUACGACAUCCUAAUAUAGUA